rnacentral:rRNA from 1 species
UACGGAGGGCGCAAGCGUUGUUCGGAAUCACUGGGCGUAAAGCGCGUGUAGGCGGCUUUGCAAGUCGGGUGUGAAAUCCCGAGGCUCAGCCUCGGAACUGCACUCUAUACUGCUUGGCUCGAGUCCCGGAGAGGGUGGCGGAAUUCCCGGUGUAGGGGUGAAAUCCGUAGAUAUCGGGAGGAACAUCAGUGGCGAAGGCGGCCACCUGGACGGUGACUGACGCUGAGACGCGAAAGCGUGGGGAGCAAACAGG